CAGUCGCCGCGGUAAUACGAAGGGUGCAAGCGUUACUCGGAAUUACUGGGCGUAAAGCGUGCGUAGGCGGUUUGUUAAGUCUGCUGUGAAAUCCCCGGGCUCAACCUGGGAAUGGCAGUGGAUACUGGCAAGCUAGAGUGUGUCAGAGGAUGGUGGAAUUCCCGGUGUAGCGGUGAAAUGCGUAGAGAUCGGGAGGAACAUCAGUGGCGAAGGCGGCCAUCUGGGACAACACUGACGCUGAGGCACGAAAGCGUGGGGAGCAAACAGGAUUAGAUACCCGAGUAGUCCCUGUCUCUUAUAC
rnacentral:rRNA from 1 species